CUAUUGAGUGUCGCUUCUUGUUAGUGUUUAUUCUAUGCUGUAGGCUAAGUUGACUCCUUUUUUAGGUGACAUCAUGAGUUAAAGUGAAAGUAUUUUAUAUACGGAAGUGAAGAAAAAACAACUAGCAUUGCAAGGCAUUGUUCAAUGAAGCAGCUGGGCAAAAUAUGCAGAAGAACGUGUUGUGAAAGCAUCUUUGAGCAGCUAAACUGUGAUCAUGUCAUCACUUCAGGGCUUCUCUGUACAGUCAGAUCUCAGAAUUGUGAUCAUAGGAAAUGCUGGAGAUGAAAAGAAUAAAGUAGUAAAAUCAGUGCUGAACUGUGAGAAUCCGACCGGAGUGAAAGUUGGGCUCUGUACUUUACAUCAGUGUGAACGAGCAGGAAGAAGGAUCAGUGUUGUUGAAGCACCAGGAUGGGACCGAAUCUCAAUACAACAAACAGCAGAGAACAUGAAAGAAGAAGUUGACAGAAGCGUGUCACUAUGUCCUCCAGGUCCUCACGUUUUUCUUCUGGUCAUUCCUGUGAAAACUCCCUCUGAAGAACCUUCUACCAGUGAAAUUACAGCAGCACAGAUGCACAUGGAGUUGCUGUCAGAGCGCGUCUGGAAACACACUAUCCUGCUGUUUGCUUGUGAUGAUGGGCUGGAGGAACCACAAAUCAAAGAGCACAUUCGCGGCUCAGAGAAAAUCCUGGAAAAGUGUGGAAGACGAUCCUAUGUUCUUCAGAAGAGCGCUUGGGAAUCUCCCACUCAGAUCAAUGAACUUUUAAAGAAGAUAGACAACCUGGUGAAGGAGAAUCAUGGUGAUUUCUUCAUACCACACGCUUACUCUGAACUGAUUCGACACAAGACACUAGAAGCGUCUGGUGAGAGUGAGAUCAGACACAGACGUGGAAGUUUGGACAAUCCUCCUAACAUGAAUAAAGGAGAUUCUGGGGAGAAGAAAGAAACCACAGAGGCUGACAAACAUACACCUUUAGAAGACACUCCAAAAAUCUACAUGGACGUCAAACAGUUUGUAGUGAUAUUAAUGGCUGUAUUUGGUGCACUUAUUGGUGCAGUUGCUGGAGCUGAAAAUGGAGUUUCAGGGUCUUGCACUGGAUUAGUCUUUGGUAUCAUUGUAGGGAUUUUACUUGCAAGUAUCAUCAUGUACAUUUACACUCAUAUUUAUUCACGUGCUUAUCCAGAGAAACCUACACAGUGUACAUCAUAAGCACUUAAAUCAUAAGGAGCUGCAUCUUUGAAUGCACAGAUAUAAAACUGCAAACAGUCCAGAAAGUCCAGUCCCUUUUCUUAGUUUUAUGUUUAGUGACAUUCUUACUUUGUACAGUUUUGAGUUGUCAUCUCGUUUUCUUUUUUGCCAUUUUUGUUUCCUUAUCAUUUGUUAUCUUUGAUAUUGUACUGAUGAUCUCCUCAUCCCAGGAGAAAACUGGAUAGGUAGUAUGUCACGUGACGCACACGUUGCAACACCAAGUGACUUUGCUGUAUUAGACACACCAGUUUAGAAGUGAGCGCCACUUUUAUAUGUUUUGUUUUUUGUUAGAUAGAACAGGUAAGUUAGGGCGUGAAACACGCUGAAGACUUGCUUUUCUUAUUUUCUUUUCAUUAGUAAGGUUAGACGUUGAACUUGAGUUAGACUGGUUUUUGUUUUGUUCUUUUCUUUUCUUUGGUGCCACUUGUGUUUUUGUUUUCUUCUAUUACUUAUGUAAAUAUUGUACACAUUUUUCCUUUUGCUAUUUUGAUACCUUUUCAUUAUUUCUACUAUUAUUGUUAUCUCACGCCUUUUUCCUUAAUUGUAAAAUAAACUAUGUUUAUUGGCA